GUGGGGAAUAUUGGACAAUGGGCGCAAGCCUGAUCCAGCCAUGCCGCGUGAGUGAUGAAGGCCUUAGGGUUGUAAAGCUCUUUCAGUGGGGACGAUAAUGACGGUACCCACAGAAGAAGCCCCGGCUAACUUCGUGCCAGCAGCCGCGGAAAUACGAAGGGGGCUAGCGUUGUUCGGAUUUACUGGGCGUAAAGCGCACGUAGGCGGAUCGUUAAGUCGGGGGUGAAAUCCCGGAGCUCAACUCCGGAACUGCCUUUGAUACUGGGUACCUAGAGUAUGGAAGAGGUAAGUGGAAUUCCGAGUGUAGAGGUGAAAUUCGUAGAUAUUCGGAGGAACACCAGUGGCGAAGGCGGCUUACUGGUCCAUUACUGACGCUGAGGUGCGAAAGCGUGGGGAGCAAACAGGAUUAGAUACCCGAGUAGUCC
rnacentral:rRNA from 1 species